UGCUGAAUGACUGAAUGAAAAGAGGUGGC
rnacentral:piRNA from 2 species